AAGCCUGCCUUCCCGAUCAUAGGACCCCCCAGCCAGAGAACCAAAAACGGGCUCUGUGCUGGCGUUUAUGAAGCAAUCUAUCAAACUGUCCAAGUAGGAUGAAGAUGUACCGUUUACCCUUUGCCUUAAAACACCCACCUUCGUAUCUUUGGAUGCAAUGCCUGAAUUUAGAAUCUGCUGACUAAAACAGGAUGCAGAGCCCAUUACCCAGGACCAGGCAGUCCACUGCACAAGGCCCACUCACUACUUACACUGUAGAAGUAACUUCUCGUCAUCACGCCCUCCAAAUCCCAACCGCAGCAAAAACGUCUACCUCAACUGUCCAAGAACAUCAGAAUGGAAAUCGUGAAAGGAAGAAAGACAGAAAUGAAGCCGUGACCGAAUCACUGGUCCAGACCCCACCAGCUCAGAUUUACACCGCGGAAAUCAAUGGAUUCUUUCAUUCUCCGGCAGGACAAAAUGCUUCCAGAGAGAAAGAGUCACCUCAGAGACCGAGAGCUGUUCUGUUUAGAAACAGACACAAAAUGACACAUAAGGUUUGAAUUUUGCUUUAAAAACACUCUAGAAGUAGCAUAUUGGGUGUACUAGUUAGGUGUACUAGUUAGGUGUACUAGUUAGGGUUACUAUUGAUGCGGUAAACACCAAUGACCAAAGCAA